rnacentral:rRNA from 1 species
AACGAACGCUGGCGGCGCGCCUAAUACAUGCAAGUCGAGCGAGAAGGUGUAGCAAUACACUUGUAAAGCGGCGAACGGGUGAGGAACACAUGGGUAACCUACCCUCGAGUGGGGAAUAACUAGCCGAAAGGUUAGCUAAUACCGCAUACGAUUCCAGGACUUCGGUCCUGGAAGGAAAGCACUACCGUGGGUAGUGCGCUCCUGGAUGGGCUCAUGUCCUAUCAGCUUGUUGGGAGGUAAAGGCUCACCAAGGCUUCGACGGGUAGCUGGUCUGAGAGGACGAUCAGCCACACUGGCACCGCGACACGGGCCAGACUCCUACGGGAGGCAGCAGUAAGGAAUAUUGCGCAAUGGGCGAAAGCCUGACGCAGCGACGCCGC